rnacentral:rRNA from 1 species
CCUACGGGAGGCUGCAGUGGGGAAUAUUGCGCAAUGGGCGAAAGCCUGACGCAGCGACGCCGCGUGAGGGAUGAAGGUCUUCGGAUCGGAAACCUCUGUCAACAGGGGAGAACGGUCACUGUGCUAAUCAGCAUUGAAUUGACGGUACCUGCAAAGGAAGCACCGGCUAACUCCGUGCCAGCAGCCGCGGUAAUACGGAGGGUGCGAGCGUUAAUCGGAAUUAAUGGGCGUAAAGCGCUCGUAGGCGGUAUGUCAAGUCAAGGGUGAAAUCCCCGAGCUCAACGUGUGAACUGCCUUUGAAACUGGCAAACUGGAGUGUGUGAGAGGAUAGUGGAAUGCCAGGUGUAGGAGUGAAAUCCGUAGAUAUCAGGAAGAACAUCAGUGGCGAAGGCGACUAUCUGGCACAUAACUGACGCUGAGGAGCGAAAGCGUGGGUAGCAAACAGGAUUAGAUACCCUAGUAGUC